rnacentral:rRNA from 1 species
AUGAACGGCCAUAGUGCCCUGGUUCCACCCGAUCUCGUAAUUUCAGAUUCUUGCGGGAAUUUGGUGAGAAGUUCGAUCUCGGAUUAAUCGUCUUCCAGAUGAUUACGAGUGAGUUAAGCAGGGCAACGCCUAUUACUGUACUGUGUUCAUGCACGGGAACUUUUAGGUGCUGUUCAUC